rnacentral:rRNA from 1 species
CACCCGGGUAUGCCUCAGUACGGCGAGUGAAGCGGCAAGAGCUCAAAUUUGAAAUCUGGCCCCUUUGGGGUCCGAGUUGUAAUUUGCAGAGGAUGCUUCGGGUGCGGUCCCCGUCUAAGUGCCCUGGAACGGGCCGUCAUAGAGGGUGAGAAUCCCGUCUGGGAUGGGCGGCCGUGCCCGUGUGAAGCUCCUUCGACGAGUCGAGUUGUUUGGGAAUGCAGCUCUAAGUGGGUGGUAAAUUUCAUCUAAAGCUAAAUACUGGCCGGAGACCGAUAGCGCACAAGUAGAGUGAUCGAAAGAUGAAAAGCACUUUGAAAAGAGAGUUAAACAGCACGUGAAAUUGUUGAAAGGGAAGCGUUGUCCACCAGACUCGCCCGGGGGGGCUCAGCCGGCACGUGUGCCGGUGUACUCCCCUCCAGGCGGACCAUUAUCGGUUUGAGUCUUUGGACGGACCCGCCUUUAAUGGCCGCCCACCCGAAGCGCCUUAUAUUCACUGGGGACAUAUCGCCUCUCUCCUCUGUUUCCCCCUCAUUCCUCAAUACUCCCUCUCAAUAAC